rnacentral:rRNA from 1 species
UACGAAGGGGGCGAGCGUUGUUCGGAUUUACUGGGCGUAAAGGGCGCGCAGGCGGCCAUUCAAGUCAGGCGUGAAAGCCCCGGGCUUAACCUGGGAGGUGCGCUUGGGACUGGGUGGCUAGAGAUCGGGAGAGGAGAGUGGAAUUCCCAGUGUAGAGGUGAAAUUCGUAGAUAUUGGGAAGAACACCGAUGGCGAAGGCACUUUACUGGGCUAUUACUAACACUCAGAGACGAAAGCUAGGGUAGCAAAUGGG